rnacentral:rRNA from 1 species
ACAAGCGGUGGAGCAUGUGGUUAAUUCGAAGCAACGCGAAGAACUUACCAGGUCUUGACAUCCGAUGCUAUUCUAGAGAUAGAAAGUACUUCGGUACAUCGGUGACAGGUGGUGCAUGGUUGUCGUCAGCUCGUGUCGUGAGAUGUUGGGUUAAGUCCCGCAACGAGCGCAACCCCUAUUGUUAGUUGCCAUCAUUCAGUUGGGCACUCUAGCGAGACUGCCGGUAAUAAACCGGAGGAAGGUGGGGAUGACGUCAAAUCAUCAUGCCCCUUAUGACCUGGGCUACACACGUGCUACAAUGGUUGGUACAACGAGUUGCGAGUCGGUGACGGCGAGCUAAUCUCUUAAAGCCAAUCUCAGUUCGGAUUGUAGGCUGCAACUCGCCUACAUGAAGUCGGAAUCGCUAGUAAUCGCGGAUCAGCACGCCGCGGUGAAUACGUUCCCGGGCCUU